GAAGUAACACCUCCAUUUGCAGCUAUGCCAUCACCGGUCAGGGCGCCACUGCUGCCGACCUCAGUGUAAGAAGAAGUCCACCUACAGACCAUAUGCUAGCUGAUUAUUGUAUCAUUAUUAGUGGGUACUUUCAGAUGAAGUUCAGGUUUUUGCUCUCGGCUAAAUAUACAGAAUGAAGCUGGAGCCUUAGGCAAUCUUCAACUCAGUUUUUCAGCAGUGAAUUUCACAGUUUUUAGCCAAUGUAAUAAAGGACUUAAAGUUAUCAUAUCCUGUAUCGAGCAUUGACACUGAAUGAACAAUACAAUAUAGUGAUCGCAGAGCUAGAAUUUCAGUUUA